UUUUCAACUCUAAUGGGAGAGA
rnacentral:miRNA from 1 species